rnacentral:rRNA from 1 species
AAACUUCCAACAACGGAUCUCUUGGUUCUGGCAUCGAUGAAGAACGCAGCGAAAUGCGAUAAGUAAUGUGAAUUGCAGAAUUCAGUGAAUCAUCGAAUCUUUGAACGCACAUUGCGCCCGCCAGUAUUCUGGCGGGCAUGCCUGUCCGAGCGUCAUUU